UUGGAGGGCAAGUCUGGUGCCAGCAGCCGCGGUAAUUCCGGCUCCAAUAGCGUAUAUUAAAGUUGUUGCAGUUAAAAAGCUCGUAGUUGAACCUUGGGCCUGGCUGGCCGGUCCGCCUCACCGCGUGUACUGGUCCGGCCGGGCCUUUCCUUCUGGGGAACCUCAUGCCCUUCACUGGGCGUGCUGGGGAACCAGGACUUUUACUUUGAAAAAAUUAGAGUGUUCAAAGCAGGCCUUUGCUCGAAUACAUUAGCAUGGAAUAAUAGAAUAGGACGUGUGGUUCUAUUUUGUUGGUUUCUAGGACCGCCGUAAUGAUUAAUAGGGAUAGUCGGGGGCAUCAGUAUUCAAGCGUCAGAGGUGAAAUUCUUGGAUUGCUUGAAGACUAACUACUGCGAAAGCAUUUGCCAAGGGUGUUUCCAUUAAUCAGUGAACGAAAGUUAGGGGAUCGAAGACGAUCAGAUACCGUCGUAGUCUUAACCAUAAACUAUGCCGACUAGGGAUCGGACGGUGUUAGUAUUUUGACCCGUUCGGCGCCUUACGGGAAAC
rnacentral:rRNA from 1 species